GAAUAGGGUUAGUUGCUCUAACCCAGCCAAAAAAUCCAACCCGGUGGGAAGGUGCUUAUUAGAGUUAGUCUUGCUGGGACCCAUAGAAAAGAUUUUUUUUUGUCAGCCACCAGCCGCACCUGAUCCAGUUUCCCCAUCCCCGCACCCCAUCCAUUCGGCCUGCCCCGUCACCCCGCCCCCGCCGCCCUAGUCCGGCCGCUCCCGCCGCCCCCGGCGCCUUCGGCCGGCCCCGUCCCGCCCCGUACUCCCCAUCCCGCCGCCGGCCCCCGCCCCCGUCGCCUCCGUUCGGCCCCAUAAGCCCCAUCCCGACUCCGGCCGCCGCCCCGGUCGCACCGCCCCCGCUGCCCCCGUCUGGCCACUCCUGCCGCCCCCGCCGCAUCCGUCCGGCCCCGUCCUGCCCCGUACGCCCCAUCCCGCAGCCGGCCGCCGCCCCCGUCGCCUCCGUUCGGCCCCGUCCGCCUCCAUCCCACCGCCGGCCGCCGCCCCAGUAGCCUCCAUCCGCCCCCGUCCGCCUCCAUCCCUACGACGUCGCCACACCUGUCACCCCCUCCCGUUCGUCCUCCGCCGGUGUCGCAAGGCCGGGCGAUGGACGGAGACGGCUUCGAUGUGUGGGGUUCGCAGCCGUCGGCAAGCGGCCCCGCUACCCAGGCCGGUCUUGACCUCAACUCGCAAGCAAGCUAGAAUUAUUGUUGCUUGCAUGUUCAUAAUUUCAUUCGAGAGAGCAGAAUUGCUGAUAGGGAAUUUGAUGCAUGUGAUGCGGAUGAAAAUUAUAACCCAAUGCCUAGUUCUUAUGCAUCUGCAUGGCCAGAAGACGAACCUCUUGCUGAAGAUAUCAACAUGAAUGCCUUCCGUGAUGAGUUAGCUAAUGCGCUGUUUCAUGGAAUGUAAUUUUAUUUUGUCAAGCUUGACUGAGGACUUGUAUGUUUAAGUGAGAUGUCUCAUUUGUAUGGACAAAAUAAAAUUUAUCAUGUUUUGGAUA